rnacentral:rRNA from 1 species
AUUGAACGCUGGCGGCAGGCCUAACGCAUGCAAGUCGAGCGGAUGAAGGGAGCUUGCUUCUCUAGUCAGCGUCGCGCGCGUGAGUAAUGCCUAGGAAUCUGCCUCUUCGUGGGGGAUAACGUCCGGUAACGGGCGCUACUACCGCAUACGUCCUGAGGGAGACAGUAGCGGAUCUUCGGACACCACGCUAUCAGUUGAGCCUAGGUCGGCUUUGCUAGUUGGUGGGGUAAAGGCCUAACAAGGCGACGAUCCGUAACUCGUAUGAGAGGUUGAGCAGUCACACUGGAACUGAGACACGGUCCAGACUCCGACGGGAGGCAACAGAGGGGAAUAUUGGACCAUGGGCGAAAGCCUGAUACAGCCAAGCCGCGGGAAUGAAGAAGGUCUUCGGAUUGGAAAACACUUAAAGUCGGGAGAAAGGGCAGUAAGUUAAUAGCUUGCGGUAAUGACGUUACCCACAGAAUAAGCACCGGCUAACUUCGUG